rnacentral:rRNA from 1 species
CAGCAGCAGCCGCGGUAACACGAAGGGUGCAAGCGUUGUUCGGAUUUACUGGGCGUAAAGCGCACGUAGGCGGAUCGAUCAGUCAGGGGUGAAAUCCCAGAGCUCAACUCUGGAACUGCCUUUGAUACUGCCGAUCUGGAGUAUGGAAGAGGUGAGUGGAAUUCCGAGUGCAGAGGUGAAAUUCGUAGAUAUUCGGAGGAACACCAGUGGCGAAGGCGGCUCACUGGUCCAUUACUGACGCUGAGGUGCGAAAGCGUGGGGAGCAAACAGGAUUAGAUACCCGCGUAGUCCCUGUCUCUUAUAC